ensembl:snoRNA
AUGUAUUUUUAAAAAUUUCUUUUAAGGCGCCUCCAAGAUAUGAGUGAAUGCUAGAGAGACCGUGGGAAGUCCAAAGGGCCGCGCCUCGCGUGGCUCAGCUUUAUUUCAUACCUGUGAUAUCU